UACGUGAAACCGUUCAGGGGUAAACCUGAGAAACCCGAAAGGUCGAAGGGGGAAAUUCAUUCGCGUCUCGCCGUCGGCGGGGGGCGGUCGUGCGACGGAAGACGCGCUCGCGCGCGUCAUCCGCGCCCUCCGCUUCCGGAUCCGGUGGCGAACGCGUGCACUUUUCUCCCGGUAGGACGUCGCGAUCCGUCGGGCGUCGGUCUACGGCUAGCGGUGGAGACCGGGCGCGCGCUUCGGCGCGCGCCAGGACCCGCAUGUCCCGGCCGACUCGCUCGACGGUAUGCGAACGGUCAAGGGCCGCUCAACAGAGGAGCGUUCGGCCCGUCGCAAGCGCGUCAGACGCAUCGGCGAUCGGACCUCGUGCCGGUUCCGAUCUCUGGCGACUGUUGGCGGCGGAGCUCUCGAACAGACCCCUGACCGAUCUGCGACGCUAUAGCUUUGGGUACUUUCAGGACCCGUCUUGAAACACGGACCAAGGAGUCUAGCAUGUGCGCGAGUCAUUGGGACAAACUAGACCCAAAGGCGCAAUGAAAGUGAAGGUCCGCCUCGCGCGGACUGGGGGAGGACGGGCGGUUCGCCCUCAAAAGCGGCCGCCCCGCACUCCCGGGGCGUCUCGUUCUCAUCGCGAGGAGAGGCGCACCGAGAGCGUACACGCUGGGACCCGAAAGAUGGUGACCUAUGCCUGGUCAGGACGAAGUCAGGGGAAACCCUGAUGGAGGUCCGUAGCGAUUCUGACGUGCAAAUCGAUCGUAAGAACUGUGUAUAGGGGCGAAAGACUCAUCGAACCUUC
rnacentral:rRNA from 1 species